rnacentral:rRNA from 1 species
AUGGAUCCAUCUGAUCCCGCGGGACACACGGUCAAUCCACUACUUAUAUCCUUCCCAGGCCUCGAUGGAAUCUCACCUUCCAGCAAGGCCGCCGUCUCCUUCGCUCUUCUUCUUGACCGGAUCAAAAUCUGGUCCCGAUCCGUCGCUCCCCGAAGGAUCCGCCUUGAUCUCUCCCUUAUUUGCUCCCACUCCCUUCCGCUGAAGAGAUCCAGCUCGUGCCCCCCUCCAGGAUUCGAGUCCCUCUGCCCCGACGGAUUUGCCGGUGUUGAUGCCGCCGUCUCGCCCGCCAUAGCCGCCAAGAUCGGCAAGUCGAUCGUGGGAGCCCCCGAGUUUUUUUUCUCUCGUCCAAACCCUAGCCGCGCCAUCCUCCGUGCGCCGCAGCCCCCAUCGAUUCCGCCCAACACCACCGAUCCCCUUCCACCUCUUCCACCCAUCCCCUCGCCGCCACCCACCUUCGCCACCGACCAGUCCCCUCGCCGCCACCCACCUCCGCCACACCUCCCCUCCCCACCUCAGAUCCUCUCCCCUCUUCCCACUCCCAGAUCCAACCUCCCACCGCCGCCUCCGACGCCCAAUCCCGGUGACCUAAGGCGGGAUUCGACGGUGCCCAGCAGACCUACACCCAUCACCGGCCAUGGAGGCGGUGGCCCUCUCCGCCGGCGAUGCGCGGAAGAGACCUACACCCGUCCCGUCCUUCUCCUUUCCUCUGUCUCUCUCUCUCCCUCACGCAUCUUCCCUCUCUCCCAGGUACAUCUACAACAGCCCCGCCAUGGAUGGCCUCUUCACGAGCUCCUGCCGCCGCUGCAGUUCAUCCGCGUCGUCGCCCCGCAGACCACCCCUACACCUCUGCAGCGGACCUGCUCCACAUCUCCUACAACCAUGACUACGUCUGCUUCACGACGAGACGCUCGCGGCAGCGCGGGCCUCCGACGCCAUCCUGCUCGGCGCGAUAGGAGGGUGAGUGGAAACGAUCUGGCAAUAGUAAUUAGUUCAGAAGUUGUGAUGUAUAAGUGGGACAGCAGUGAGAAGCAUCUCAAGCCUGAGACCGGGCUGCUCAACAUCCGUGCCGGGCUCAGCGUGUUCGCCAAUCUGCGGCCAGCCACGGUGUUGCCGCAGCACUGCCUUUCGUACUCUAGUUUGCUAGUUGCAUCCAAGGCCAUGGUCCUGGAGAACGCUUGUAGGGACGUCGAGGAGAUGCGCGCCAUCCUUGGCGACAGCAUCGGCAACCUAGAGCUCAUGAAGCAGAGGAUACAAGAGAGGGUGCGCGCGAAAGGCAGGGAGGGGUUCAACAGGCCCAAGACGGGCUCCGUCGCCGCGUUCAAAAUCAUGAUGUACCAGCUCUGCAAUGGCGUUGCUUUCUGCCACGAACGCGGUGUCCGGGACCAUGACCUCGAGCCACACAACCUGCUCAUGGGUGGAUGCGCUGGUAACGCUGAUGGUUUCGGAGAUACUCGUAAAGAAGAGUUGUACAAUGCAUGUGCUACUCUUAAGGUACCAGAGGCGAUCGACAUCCUCCUGGUGGCGCUGCUCCUCACAAAGUGUUGA